ensembl:lncRNA
GGAAAAUAUCUCACUCACAUCUCCUCCGCCAAGAAAGAUCUGAGUCUGUCAUUUCCAGCAGAGGUCUGCAAACUGACGUGAAGAAAAUCCAGUCAAGGCAAGUGAUUGAGUUUGGUGUCCUUUCUCUGACAGCAGACAGUGAGAUGGACUCUAGGAAACGUAGAGCAAGAUAACGGGGCCUGAGGAUGAAUCCCAGUACUGUCUGAAGAAAGGAUGUUUAAGGGAUAACCCACUUCACAGAUGCAAGGUAUACAACAUUAGUAAAAAUAUUUGAACAAAAUAUUUUAAAAAAUGCAUUUCAUAUGCAUUUUAAAAUAUGCAUUGAAAAUAUAUACACAUAUAUUCUAUCAUUAUUUAUUUUGUAACAUUUAUAUUUCUACUAAAUGGAGGGGAAAAAAUCCACAACUUUCCUACCGAAGUCUAUUUUCAUCCUAUCAAAAUGUUCAGAACUCUGGCAACAAUGAGAAAUACCAAAUAACUUUCAGAGUACCAUUUUUAUCACGGCACUUCUGCCAACAAAAUAACUGUUAAAUCUUACUUCCCUAAAUGAUGACUAAUUACUUCUUAUAUCCACUGGUGGUGAUGUACUGCUGGAUCCUUUAAGGCGGAUGGAUUAUUGUAGACACAAUGCUGGAGUUCUUUAAGAGCACUUAGGAGAAGAUCUUUGACUUGUCUUUAUUAAAAGCAAUAGUAUCUUAUCUAAAUGGUGGAUGGGAGCUGGAUGUGAGCCAGCUGUGUGCCCUCAUAGCCCAGAAAGCCAAAUCUCAUACUUGUCUCUGCUUCCACAAAGCACGUAGAUAGUUGUCUCGGUGUCCCAAGAACUGUACAGUCUCUUUAUGUUUCUUCUUUCUGCUGUCUAAGGCUGAAGAAUUGUUCCUUGUCACUAUAGCAUUGAACAUCCCUUCUACAGUAGGAAAAAAAAACCCAUCUCCUUCACAACAAGGCUCCCCAUCUUAAUUUGGAGGCUUGAUUGUCUGAGAGUAUGUUGUUUCUUAUGGCUGACUUGCUGCAAAAAGUGUUCACAGAAUCAUAGCAUAUCCUAAGUUGGCAGGAGCCAGAAUCAGACUGGUCCUUCAGAAGCACAUGGAGAUGGAGAAAGAAUGGUCUUGUAGCCAUGUCUUCCAUAACUCCAUGCUGUCCUCACUCUCCAAGCUCUUACUUUCCAUCUGAGCAGCCAGAGAGGUGUCACACAUAGGCUGGGCACGGCCCAUGAGCUGCUGGAGAGGGAGCGGUGCAGAUGAACAGGUGGCAUGUGGGACAUGGAGCUUAUUCUUGGUCACCAUUCUCCGAAGACCAGUCUGUCAGAUUGGAUGGACGUGGCCAGAGGUCAAGUAUGCCUUCUGUGAGAAUAGAAAAUCACCUUCUCAAUAUAUGUAGAUGACUCUGAAAGUAAUGCCUCCCAUUUAUUUCCAUGGAAACUACAACAGAUACAAGGAGCACAAUAGAAGUAUUUGAUAGAGCAAAUUCUCAGCUACAAAGCUCUAUUCUUCAACUUAGCCACUACCAAUAUCAAUGAAUUUUUGCCAGCAAUGAACAAGAGACUGCAUGCCAACUUGUGAAAUCUGCAUGGAUGUCUAGAAUGUGGCUUGUCUUUCACGUUGCUAUCAUCAGUGCCUCACUGUGCUCACACUUGUUUGGUCUCUAUAAACAUUCAGCAAGCAUCAAUGAAUGUCAGUGAGUGCCAUUUUUUCCACAUGAGGGAAUUCAGUGACACACUUUUGCUUCAUAUGCACUUCUGUGUCAGACAUCAUUUUGUCAAUACCCUUCUACUGCUAUCUGUCACGUGGCAACAAAAUGUAAUGGGAUGUUGGUGGGAAGGUUUAACCUCUACUACCAUACUACCAACAUCCACCUCUGACGUUGUAGGUCAACAUAAUAAAAUAGGAGGCAUUAUUUAUGGAACAACCAUUAUUAAAAAAAAUUUUUUAAAAACACCUCUUUUUGUUUGCACUUCACCUGUCCCAAAAAUUUCAGUCUUGUGUUCCCAAUGUCUUCACUAGGAGAGGCACCCAAUAACCAUUCCCCAUUACUCUCAUCAUCAUUUUUACAGAUCCACCUCCUCUUUUCGAUCACACCUCUGCAGCACUCUCUUUCCUUGGCUGAAAGUCCAAGUCCACAGCAUGGUUGCACUAACAAAGCAAGAUUCAAUCCAAUAACCUAAGCCUUGGUAUUUGUGAUCUUUCCCUGGACUGGGCUACAAUCCCAUUCAGGACAAAAGCUGAGGAUCUUCCUAGACUCUCUGAGGAACCAAAUGAAAGAUUUCAUUCAGUGCACCCAGCACACCCAGCAAGCUGGUGCAGCCUCACAAAGAGAGCUUGUUCCCACCUCACCACCAGCUCUGCAGGUUUCAGGCCAUCACCUCUGAAGACUUAUCAGAGCUGAAAUGGACUGUGCACUUAGGGGAAUGCUCACCCCCAGGGGAAAGCACAGCUCGGAGAAUGCGAGGCUGCUCAUGAGUGUCCCUCACAUGCUUCCCACACGCUCAGCCCAAGAAGUUGGAUGGAGAUAAGUAGAGCUUUAUGAGGGCAGGAUGCUAUAUGCUGGCGUACGGUACCAGGGAACAGUUUACAAGCUCAGCAACUGCAAAAUAAAUAAAGAAAUAAAUGAAUAUUACUGAAGAAAAAGAAAAAACAUAACAAAUUAUCUCAUCUUUCCACUAUCUGACUCAGCAAGGAUCUCUUAGGGCUAUCAAUAAGGAGGCUCCAGGUUCUGACAUCCUGCUUUUCACCCUGCCUGGCAUCAGGUGGGGGCUGAUUGCCCCAGUCUGAUCUCCGGAAUAGAAAGUAAAUGAAAACGAAGAAAUAAACACGCCAAUUAAUUAAUUAGUGAUGGUAAUUGAAAUGGAAAGUAAAAAUAAUGAAAAGAUAGAACCAGGUAUUACUUACAAAGAUGGCUUUGUUUGGCAGCAAAAGUCAAAGUCUCAAGGGUCCCUCCAGCUGUGCAGUUGAUGCUGCCCUAUCCUGCAGUACAUCCAGCUUCAGGCCCUUUCCCACAGGCUCUCAAAGAAAUCUGCAUAGCAAGUCAGGCUCCCAUGACAGCCACACUCCUCCGGCUGUUGUAGAUCCAGGACGGUCCAUCAAAGCCACGUCGAUGGAUGCCAGCAGAGGAUCUGGCCCACUCAUUUACAUUCACGACUCCGUGGUGCAGCUGGCAGCUGUGAAAGGGCUCAUUUGGAAGGCAGCGUGGCUGGGAUCAACAUCACUUAAGUGAUAAUCUGCUAAUCAGAGCUUCUUCUGUCAGAGUAAUGCCUCCACCUCGUCUUUCCCUGCUGGCAGUUUUCUCCUGCAAAGCUUGCCAAAUCUUUUCAGCUCCUGGCUGUUUUGGAGGGGUUUUCCUUGCUCACCUCCCAAAUGGAGUUUGCCUUUGGUUCUGGCCAUGCAUUGGAUGACAACACACACACGAGUUUGCCUUUGGUUCUGGCCAUGCAUUGGAUGACAACACACACACACACAAAGAAGAAAAAUGGAUGCAAGCCCAAGUGUGCUGCCAAGGACAUCCAGUCUGCCGUGCAACUGGCAGGGAUGGGGAGAGGGGUCUGGGGUUUUUUAAGAGCAAAAAAAGAUCUUGUGUAUAUGGAGAAAAGGAGGUUUGAGGCACUCACUUCUCCUGCAGGUCAGGAAUGCUGUUGCUCAGUGCUGUGCAAAUAUCACUGAAACAGCUAAGCUGUGGAGAGCCCCAGGCUGAGUAACCAUAUGUGAAAAGUAUUGUGAAAUCUCUUAGGUUGUUGCUUUGAAAGGAGCUGAUAAAUAACAAAAGACCCUCACUAGGAAGAGAAAAGUAGAGAAUCAGCCAGAAAUGGCACCAGUUGCUGGUCUGCGGGGAAAAGCCCAGGGCUCUGAUCUCCAUCCCACUUGUGUCUUUCUGGGUCCAAAGCAUCGGCCUACAGCAAGGAGAACAACAGAGAUGGGAUAAGGCAAGAGCACGUGUUGCUGUGUAGAGCCUGUCUGCCCCACCUUGUCUGCAUGAAAACACAACCAAAUGGAUGCCAAGCCUAUUGCUGAUGAGGAUUUUCCUUCACCUACUUGCAUGCCCUGAACUCCUUUUGUAUAGCUUUGUUUCAGCUAAAGGUCACUGUAUGGAGCCACUGACAAUUGUGUUCUACUGGUGACUUUGCUAACCCAUCUGGCCUGCUUAAGAUGCAAAAUGCCUUUGGGUUCAUCUGUCACCUCCAACACUCCUUUGUUGCCUUAACCCAAGACCUCAACUCCACACACCUCAUCUCUCUCUUCUCCCAAACCAUUUUCAGGUCUGUGAUCCUUUUUCUGACACAUUUUCUGCGUCUUCUCAUGUAGGGCACCCAAACCCACCACGAUGACUUCGCCCCAGUUACUGAGUCACCUUGUAAACCAUACUGCAGGGCAUUAGAAGAGGCGUACAGCCCAUCUAUGGCCACAUAUCACAAGCAUUUCUGUGUACUUAAUGAAGAGUCUUUACAGAGAAAUCUAAAUUUUUAAAAAUAUAUUUUUAUUUUUGAUUUUUUUCCUAUAUAGAAAAAUCUAUUUAUUACUGUUUUUUAUUUCAUACCACCUGGAGGAAGGGGAGCAGCGUUUAGAAGGAAUUGAAGCAAAGCAGAAGAGAAAGCUGCUGAAAGCAAAAAUAUUGUCCCAGAAAGUGUUUUAAUGGAUUCAAUUCUCACCCUCAUUCUUCUUGAGCAUUCAUUCGCUGUUCAAUGUGUGAGUACAAAAAAUGUAUUUUUCUUAUUCUGACAUACAUUUCCAAAGCAGCCCUGUUCCUUGAGUGCUGGAUGCUAUUGGAGAAACUCAUAGAAUCAUAGAACGGCCUAGGCUGGAAACAUCCUCAAAGGUCAUCCAGUCCCAACCCGGGGCCAUGGGCAGGAUUACCACCUUCCAGAUCAGGCAGCCCAGGGCCCCAUCCAACCUGGCCUUGAGCACCUCCAGAGAUGGAGCACCCACAGCUUCUCUGGGCUUUUCAUCCGGCUUCUCAUUUUGCAAUGAGAGAAUUUUUCACCCUAGAUUUUGUCCACGAGUUCCAGAGCAGAUGUUUUCUUAAAGAGCCAACAAAGAAGCCAUCACACACCACUUCCACAGUCAUCUCAGCCAAGAGUUACGACUUCAUCUUUGUGUAAACAGUGUCAAUUGGACCUCUAUUAUACUCCUUCUCCUCUCUGACCAUGUGAAAACAAAAUGCUGACAGCAAAAUUCUGCUCUUUACAACACAUACAACAAAAAUGGCCAGAAAUUAAUGAUGGCUAUCUGGCUUAAUGCACAAACCCAACAUGUUCGAAGCUGCUUCUUGUAUAUUUUGGCCUUGAUUUUGCAAACAAAACGCCAGCAAUAGCCAAGUGAAAACAGAGCAAACAGAGCAGAAAAGGCUGUCUCACCCUUGGUGACAGUCGGUCAUUGGACUGGCUUCUUGCACAAUGAGGGAUUCUUGCAGCGUGGCUGCCAACCCCAUCCAUGUCAGACCUUUCCCUCCCUGAUCAAAGGCUUUGGCUGAUGUAAGUCAUGAUGUUUCACUGAACCUGAGUGACCGAGGAGAGAAAGGACAAGAGGUGUUUUAUCCAGGCUGGGACCUGAUCUCCAGCAGAGGGGAAACAUUCACCCAGCUGGGAGGAGGAGAUGUUUAUUAUUAGGCCGUGUAAAAGUUAGCUACAAUACAGAGCCAAUUCACAGGAGCAAUAAUUCCUGGUCAAAACCUUAGCCAGUUUAGAUUGAUUAUGUAUUUUUUUUAUGCUGUCUUACAUCAGUAGGAGGAUCUAAACAUUUUGGUUUGUUGUAAGAUGUUGGAGAAACUCAGUUCAACACGUGCCAUACCCAAGGGUCUCCUUAAAAUAGCAACAUUACAAAGGCUUCUUUUAGUGCUGCAUUCCUUCUGGGUUCAUUAUACACACAUUCAUGGAUACAAUCUGAAAGAAAAACAAAACAAAACUUAGAUGUCCAAAUUACCUUUGCCUUGACAUAAAGAGAUGCCUGGAACAGAUCUGCUGGAGAAUGGAGUCCUGUGCCCCCCAGUGGGAAGAGACCGGACAAACAACAGCAGACGUCUGGAUGUGCAGAAGAGCUCAUUCCCCUCUCAAAGGUCUGCAGAGAGGGGGAAGAGUUGCCUUGUAACCCUGGCUGAGAGAAUACACAAUGUCUGGGGAUGAAUAGAGAUAAUAAAAGCAUUUUCCUGGGGCACUGCCCCCCAAAAAUGAGCAAACUCAGCUGUUUUGUGUUUGACCUCGCAUAAAUCCGGAUUUCCAAUGGCGGUAGGACCUAAAAGCGGAGGGCUUGAUCCUCAGCACCCAAUGAGUCAGGCAGAGAGAGAGAUCCUUUUCAUGUGGGGAAAGAACUGGGCAGUUUGCUUGGGAAGAGAAGUGCUGGAAUGAUGCAAAUUGGGAAAUUCUCACAUGCUUUCCUCUGGUGCCUGACUGAGAGCCCCAGCCAUGGUUUAGGCCUUAAGUUGAUUCAGGGGAGGUUCAGAUUGGAUGUUAGGAAACAUUUCUUCUCCAAAAGAGUGGCAAUGCAGUGGCACAGCUGCCCAGGGAGGUGGUGGGGUCACCAGCCCUGGAGGUGUUCCUGAACCAUGGAGAUGUGGCACUGAGGGAUGUGGGCAAUGGGCAUGGUGGGGUGGGUUGGGGUUGGUGAUCUCAGAGGUCUUUUCCAAACCUUAAUGAUUCCAUGAUUGUGUGAUUCACUGUGUCUUUAGAGGGCCCUCAGUCAUACAGUCCAACUGCUCAGCUCCCACAAGCCUGCUCUGCCCACCUUAUCUGGCCUCACUCCUAUCUUGCACUGAGUGCCAUGAGAGCUGGGUUACAUCCUCUACUUGAAGAAACUCCUCUUUAGAGCUGCAUUUGAUGCUCAUGACUCCAAAGACCUGCAGCCCUUGCAACUCCUAUCUUCCCAGAAAGGAGCAACGAAGCAAACGCAGACUGCUGCAAUUGGAUUUGGGGAAUCCUGUGGUGUUGGGUUUACAUUGUUUGAAGAUAACAGGGAUCCAGAAUAACAUCUGCCAUAUUCUUGGUGGCCAUAAGAGUGGGGCUCUGCUGGGCCAACUUUGAGCUGGGGUUGGAGGGAGGGAAAAGUUUCCUUCUUGCACAGCUUCAGCAGUUCAGCAGUAUCUGCCCUUAAUCAUUAAAUGAUUGGAUGGAGAAAUUACCAGCAUAAAGGCAUCCCUGGCCCAGUCCCAGCACACGAGGGACUGGAUACAAAGGGGUGACCAAAGUCUGGAUGUCUCUUAAACCAGAUCAGAUCCUGCUUUAUUUGCAUCACCACCCAGUAGCAGCAGGAGGUGGGGAGCAAUGCAAUAUAUGAGGCGUUCUCUUGCUCCUUCCCUCUUUCCCACCCAAAAAAUAAUAAUAAAUUUAAAAAAAACAGCAAAAGAGAUGCUAUGGGACUCAUGAAACUUUGCAGCAGAGUUAUUUUUCUUCCCCCCCUUCUUCUCAGACAGACUAUAGAGCCUCGGGUACACAUUUGCUCAGUUGCCUAUACUUAAACACGCACAGACGCUCAGCUCCCACCAGGGAUGGAGGCUGUCCCACCCCUUUGGUUGAGCAGAUUGGAGAGAAGUGAGCCAACAGCCCCCCCAAAAUGAAAUGAAAUGAAAUAAAGCAGCAGAGGUGGAAAUACCUUCCCCAGGAUUCCCCCAGGAUCCCCUCUCAGGAACCCCCUUUUUGAGCCCACCUCCCUCAAUAAAUGUAUUUUUAAUCCCUAUGUGGGACAUAAAUUUGGGAACAGCGUGGAUGAGGGGCAGUGGGACAGACUGAUGGCGUUGGGGUGGAUGGGGAGGGGGGGUUGGCUUCGUGGCUUUUAAAUCCUUUCUCCCAACCCUUCGCGUGGGUGCCCCCUUCAGCACGCAUUGCCCAACCGGAGCGCAGGGGGUGGGACGGGGGGUGGGAUGCGGUGCGGUGCGGUGCGGUGGGAGGGCUGCGGGAUGACCCCGUGCCUCGCAGCCCGUCGGUCAAAGGCUGAGUACGGCUGAUCAAUGGGGGCCAACCCCUGGGGGGGGGAAGGGGGAGGGGGGCUUUUAUACCUACCCUUCUCCCCCCGCGGUGCGGAGAUCUGUCGGGGCUGGCAGGGAGAGGCAGAGGGCUCGCAAGGAGGAGGAGGAGGAGGAGGAGGAGAAGAAGGAGGAGGAAAAGAUUGCAUCAAGAGCAACACUUCUUUUCCCCCUCCCUCUCUCUCUCUCUCUCUCUCUCUCUUACAGGAAGCCCUACUCUACCUUAGCCUUGGAAAGAGCCCCUUUUCAUAAAAUUAGCUGAAGGCACCUAUUCACAGCCAUGGGGCCGUGAAAAAAAAAAAAAAAAAAAGCAACUAACCGACUGUAGAGGCUUUUUUUUCUCUCUCUCUCUCUCUCUCUUUUUUUUUUUUUUCUCUCUUCGCUCCAAAAAAUAAAAGAGAAAUGCGCGCAGCUCCGCUCGGCGAAAACGCGUUGUUUUUACCGUCUGCCCUCCGGCGGGGUAUAGAGGUCUGUUCGGUUUGGUUUGGGGUUUUUUUUUUCGGUAUUUUAUUUUAUUUUGGGCUUUCUCUCUGCUUAUUUAGCUCCUAAUCACAAAAUCCGGGCAGAAAGAAAGAAAGAAAGAAAAAGUUGAAAGGAAAAGAGAAGCGAAGCAAAGCAAAGCAAAGCAAAGCGCAGGAGUUGAUGUCCAAAGUUCCCCCAGUGAGUCAGCCCGCAGCGCAGCGCUGUGUCCCGCGUGGUGCAUCCCUGUCCCCCCCCUCCCCUCCUCGCUUCUUCUCCCACGCCGAAAAUAAACCCGAUCAGGGGACGGCUGCUGGAGUUUCACCCCCAGCGGCGUGGCUUUGGGGGGGGCUAUCCUGUUUUCCUAUUAUAUAUGAAUAUAUAUACAUAUAUUUACCUUGUCAUUUUAUGAAUGAAAGCGCCCGGCUGAGCUGGGAGCACCAUCCCCAGCCUUGAAACUGCGAUGCUGGUGACAUCCACGAGGGGUGCGAGGUGCUGGGGACAUGAGGGGGGGAAAGCGGGGAUGCGAUGCGCCGGGGGCUCCGCGGGGGGCUCCUCCUUGCGGGGCACGGAACGAGGACUGCGCUCCCGUGAGAGUGUGAGAACGGGAAAAAAUUCAAACAGUAAAGAUACAGGGAUAUAUUGAAAAAGAUUUCAGAACGUUUGGCGGAGGGAAAAUCUUUUUUCUCUCUUUUUUUGCCGCGAGAAAAAAAGUAUAUUCUAAAAUGAAGUACCUAGAGAGAGUGGCGGUAGGAGGCGGGGGAGUCGUCAGCCUCACGCUUUCACGCCGUGUUCAAUCGGCUUUUUGAAACUGCAGAUCCUCUGAGGCAGAGAGGGGAGAGAGGAGCGAAAAAAUCCCGAUUUGUAACUGAAACACACUUCGACCCGGAGGGCUGGAGAAUAAACCUAUUGUGGAGGCGAAACGCGCGGCGAUACACCAGCAAGGAAAAAAAAAAAAAAAAAAAGGAGGAAAAGGUCCCCCCCAAAAGCACCGCUGUUUGCGAAGAAAAAGUAAAUGAGGAGGGAAAAUAUCUCCAAGUUUUCGCUAUUUUUUUUUCCCCGUAACUUUCUGCUCUGAGAGCCGUUCGUGUGGCGAAAGUGGAGAAAAAGAAGAAUUAAAAGAAAAAAAAGGCUUUUUUUUUUUUUUUUUUCCUCUCUCUCUUUCUUUCCAAACCCCUCCGAAACCCAAAAGAUAAAAUUACUGGAUCUAAAAAUAAAGCCGUGGUUUAAAGCCUCCCCCACCCUC